rnacentral:rRNA from 1 species
UACGUAGGGUGCGAGCGUUAAUCGGAAUUUACUGGGCGUAAAGCGCACGUAGGCGGCGAUUCAAGUCAGAGGUGAAAGCCCGGGGCUCAACCCCGGAACUGCCUUUGAAACUAGAUUUGCUAGAAUCCUGGAGAGGUGAGUGGAAUUUCCGGAGUAGAGGUGAAAUUCGUAGAUAUUCGGAAGAACACCAGUGGCGAAGGCGACUCACUGGACAGGUAUUUGACGCUGAGGUGCGAAAGCGUGGGGAGCAAACAGG